rnacentral:rRNA from 1 species
AUGCCGCGUGCAGGAAGACUGCCCUAUGGGUUGUAAACUGCUUUUAUACAGGAAGAAACACCUCUACGUGUAGAGGCUUGACGGUACUGUAAGAAUAAGGAUCGGCUAACUCCGUGCCAGCAGCCGCGGUAAUACGGAGGAUCCAAGCGUUAUCCGGAAUCAUUGGGUUUAAAGGGUCCGUAGGUGGAUAAUUAAGUCAGAGGUGAAAUCCUGCAGCUUAACUGUAGAAUUGCCUUUGAUACUGGUUGUCUUGAGUUAUUAUGAAGUAGUUAGAAUAUGUAGUGUAGCGGUGAAAUGCAUAGAUAUUACAUAGAAUACCGAUUGCGAAGGCAGAUUACUAAUAAUAUACUGACACUGAUGGACGAAAGCGUGGGGAGCGAACAGGAUUAGAUACCCUGGUAGUCCACGCCGUAAACGAUGGAUACUAGCUGUUCGAACUU